rnacentral:rRNA from 1 species
CCUACGGGAGGCUGCAGUGGGGAAUAUUGGACAAUGGGGGCAACCCUGAUCCAGCCAUGCCGCGUGUGUGAAGAAGGCCCUCGGGUUGUAAAGCACUUUCAGUGAGGAAGAACGCCUGGUGGUUAAUACCCAUCAGGAAAGACAUCACUCACAGAAGAAGCACCGGCUAACUCCGUGCCAGCAGCCGCGGUAAUACGGAGGGUGCGAGCGUUAAUCGGAAUUACUGGGCGUAAAGCGCGCGUAGGUGGCUUGAUAAGCCGGUUGUGAAAGCCCCGGGCUCAACCUGGGAACGGCACCCGGAACUGUCAAGCUAGAGUGCAGGAGAGGAAGGUAGAAUUCCCGGUGUAGCGGUGAAAUGCGUAGAGAUCGGGAGGAAUACCAGUGGCGAAGGCGGCCUUCUGGACUGACACUGACACUGAGGUGCGAAAGCGUGGGUAGCAAACAGGAUUAGAUACCCUGGUAGUC